rnacentral:rRNA from 1 species
UACGGAGGGUGCAAGCGUUAUCCGGAUUUACUGGGUUUAAAGGGUGCGUAGGUGGGUAGGUAAGUCAGUGGUGAAAUCUUCGAGCUUAACUCGGAAACUGCCAUUGAUACUAUUUAUCUUGAAUACUUUGGAGGUAAGCGGAAUAUGUCAUGUAGCGGUGAAAUGCUUAGAUAUGACAUAGAACACCAAUUGCGAAGGCAGCUUACUACAUAGUUAUUGACACUGAGGCACGAAAGCGUGGGGAUCAAACAGG